rnacentral:rRNA from 1 species
GACGAACGCUGGCGGCGUGCUUAACACAUGCAAGUCGAACGGUGAAGCACCAGCUUGCUGGAGUGGAUCAGUGGCGAACGGGUGAGUAACACGUGAGCAACCUGCCCCUGACUCUGGAAUAAGCGCUGGAAACGGCGUCUAAUACUGGAUACGAGAAGGGCCCGCAUGGGCACUUUCUGGAAAGUUUUUCGGUUGGGGAUGGGCUCGCGGCCUAUCAGCUUGUUGGUGAGGUAAUGGCUCACCAAGGCGACGACGGGUAGCCGGCCUGAGAGGGCGACCGGCCACACUGGGACUGAGACACGGCCCAGACUCCUACGGGAGGCAGCAGUGGGGAAUAUUGCACAAUGGGCGAAAGCCUGAUGCAGCGACGCCGCGUGAGGGAUGACGGCCUUCGGGUUGUAAACCUCUUUCAGCAGGGAAGAAGCGAAAGUGACGGUACCUGCAGAAGAAGCACCGGCUAACUACGUG